rnacentral:rRNA from 5 species
AGACAGGUGCUGCAUGGCUGUCGUCAGCUCGUGUUGUGAAAUGUUGGGUUAAGUCCCGCAACGAGCGCAACCCUUAUCCUUUGUUGCCAGCGGUUAGGCCGGGAACUCAAAGGAGACUGCCAGUGAUAAACUGGAGGAAGGUGGGGAUGACGUCAAGUCAUCAUGGCCCUUACGACCAGGGCUACACACGUGCUACAAUGGCAUAUACAAAGAGAAGCGACCUCGCGAGAGCAAGCGGACCUCAUAAAGUAUGUCGUAGUCCGGAUUGGAGUCUGCAACUCGACUCCAUGAAGUCGGAAUCGCUAGUAAUCGUAGAUCAGAAUGCUACGGUGAAUACGUUCCCGGGCCUUGUACACACCGCCCGUCACACCAUGGGAGUGGGUUGCAAAAGAAGUAGGUAGCUUAACCUUCGGGAGGGCGCUUACCACUUUGUGAUUCAUGACUGGGGUGAAGUCGUAACAAGGUAACCGUAGGGGAACCUGCGGUUGGAUCACCUCCUU